UACGGGGGGGGCAAGCGUUGUUCGGAAUUACUGGGCGUAAAGGGCUCGUAGGCGGCCAACUAAGUCAGACGUGAAAUCCCUCGGCUUAACCGGGGAACUGCGUCUGAUACUGGAUGGCUUGAGGUUGGGAGAGGGAUGGCGGAAUUCCAGGUGUAGCGGUGAAAUGCGUAGAUAUCUGGAGGAACACCGGUGGCGAAGGCGGCGAUCCUAGGCCAAUUCUG
rnacentral:rRNA from 1 species